rnacentral:rRNA from 1 species
GACGAACGCUGGCGGCGUGCUUAACACAUGCAAGUCGAACGGUAAGGCCCUGCUUUUGUGGGGUGCUCGAGUGGCGAACGGGUGAGUAACACGUGAGUAACCUGCCCUUGACUUUGGGAUAACUUCAGGAAACUGGGGCUAAUACCGGAUAGGAGCUCCUGCUGCAUGGUGGGGGUUGGAAAGUUUCGGCGGUUGGGGAUGGACUCGCGGCUUAUCAGCUUGUUGGUGGGGUAGUGGCUUACCAAGGCUUUGACGGGUAGCCGGCCUGAGAGGGUGACCGGCCACAUUGGGACUGAGAUACGGCCCAGACUCCUACGGGAGGCAGCAGUGGGGAAUAUUGCACAAUAGGCGGAAGCCUGAUGCAGCAACGCCGCGUGCGGGAUGACGGCCUUCGGGUUGUAAACCGCUUUCGCCUGUGACGAAGCGUGAGUGACGGUAAUGGGUAAAGAAGCACCGGCUAACUACGUG